rnacentral:lncRNA from 1 species
AAAAAAGCAACGCCUCCCUUAAAUGAAAGCAAGGCAAAGAAACAAUGAAAGCUAAAGUGGGUGGGAGGCUACAGAGGUAAGUCAGCGCAACAAGAGUUUUAGCAUCCCAAAAAAAACGUUCCAAAAGCACUAACAAGUGGCGGCUUGUGCUUCCUUAAAUGAAGCUUCAAUAGAAAAGUGCAUGAAACUAAAUGGAAAGACCAAGAGUAAAAUCAGCAAAAGAAAUUAACCGUGAGCUCCCUCAUCCAAAAUCAAACAAUGCAAUUAGAAGCCCCAUGGAAAAGAACAUUCCAAGCCAAGUGUCUCCAACGUUCCAGUAGAGAAAAAAUAUUGUCCUAUGCAAGUGACGGCUGCUAGGGAAUUCCUAGGACCAAGUGUCACUAAAAUGAGAGGGUGGGGUCCACCCUAAAGAAACCCUAGUGCCAUGUGUCCUACCC